UACGUAGGGGGCAAGCGUUGUCCGGAUUUAUUGGGCGUAAAGAGCGUGUAGGCGGCUUUACAGGUCCGUUGUGAAAACUCGAGGCUCAACCUCGAGACGCCGGUGGAAACCGUAAGGCUAGAGUCCGGAAGAGGAGAGUGGAAUUCCUGGUGUAGCGGUGAAAUGCGCAGAUAUCAGGAGGAACACCGGUGGCGAAGGCAGCUCGCUGGGACGCGACUGACGCUGAGACGCGAAAGCGUGGGGAGCAAACAGG
rnacentral:rRNA from 1 species